UCUACUAAUCCCACGGGCCCUGAAGUUAACAACCAUGUAAGCCUCCAGUGGCCAUCAUAUGAGCAACCACAGGGCUCGAACCUGAGACCACAGAAGGAGCAAACCUCUUGAUCCCAAGCUUUUACCACUGGGCCACCACCUAGAUGGUUAAUUAUAAAAGACUUGAUUACGUACGUGAUUUUGAAUCCGUUGUGCAUGUUGCUCGUACUGCAUGUAUCUAAUUGGAGGAACCUACUCGAGAUCCGGAAUAAUAACCCGACGUGUGAUACUCAUGUACCAAAUCAAAUACUUCUCAUCUCUAAUCACAGGAUGCAUCUCUCUAAAUAACACGUUUCUCUGAGCAUCCCAUUGUGAUACAUAAGCUUUAUGGCAGGUUAACCAGUCGUAAUACCCCGAUGAGUUAUGGCCUGCAAAACAUCACUCGUAUCAAUAUCGACUAAAAUGUGAUAUUUAUAGCCGAAUUAUCGCAUUACUUGAUCUAGGUAAUAUAGCUCAAUCAUCUUAAAAAAUAUUUGCUAGACAACUGAUGUUCAUAUAUCCAUCCCGCUAAUGUAAACAACCAGAGCAACUACUAGUCUUUCGUCCAAAUAAAGCAUCCACAUAACCCGUAGAAUAUAAGUUUCUUAAAUAUUAAACAACAACAAUUCAGUGAAGUUAAUUUCUUUAUUUAACAAAUAGUUUAGAAAAUACUUGGAUAGCAUGUUGCCUAUCUAACUCACUUUGAUAAAAUUCUAACACAUGUGUUAGGUUAUUUUCAAAUAUUCUACCAACACAUCACCCAACAUUACAAAUACAUGUAAUUUUAAUUGUAUUUUUAAAAGUUACAAUUAGACAAUACAAAUUUGCACUAACAUUGCAAAAUAACUUUGCAAUACCAGCGUCCUAGUAGAAGCUGUAAUGUAACCAUUAUAGUCUGGAUCAUUGACAACAAUCUCAGUAUUUAUAGUCGACCAACAUAAAAAUGCUCACAAGACUAUAACUAUUAUUAAAUAAAAACAAGUUGAUUAUUUAUUGUUAAGGAUAAAUAUUGAAUGUUAAUACUUAUAAUCAAAUUUUUCGAUUCAUACCUGAAGAAGUAGCAAACAUCUCUUAAGUUGUUUGACCUUCUUCAUGUAUGCCAGACAUAGAUGUUUGUACUAGUAUACUAAGACAACAAAUCUCCA
rnacentral:lncRNA from 1 species